rnacentral:rRNA from 1 species
AGCGAACGCUGGCGGCAGGCCUAACACAUGCAAGUCGAACGAACCUUUCGGGGUUAGUGGCGGACGGGUGAGUAACACGUGGGAACGUGCCUUUAGGUUCGGAAUGACUCAGGGAAACUUGUGCUAAUACCGAAUGUGCCCUUCGGGGGAAAGAUUAAUCGCCGUUAGAGCGGCCCGCGUCUGAUUAGCUAGUUGGUUGAGGUAAUGGCUCACCAAGGCGACGAUCAGUAGCUGGUCUGAGAGGAUGAUCAGCCACAUUGGGACUGAGACACGGCCCAAACUCCUACGGGAGGCAGCAGUGGGGAAUCUUGCGCAAUGGGCGAAAGCAUGACGCAGCCAUGCCGCGUGAAUGAUGAAGGUCUUAGGAUUGUAAAAUUCUUUCAACGGGGACGAUAAUGACGGUACCCGGAGAAGAAGCCCCGGCUAACUUCGUG